UCCAAAGUGAGCAUCCUGAGCACCUUGCUGAGAGCCCCCAGCUUGCUAGGUCACCUUCUGUGACUUCUACUGGCUGCACGCUGCAUGGGAAGGACUCUGGGAGACCCUGAAGCCAUGCAAUGGAGGCAGUGACCUUUAAGGAUGUGGCUGUGAACUUCACCAUGGAGGAGUGGGCUUUGCUGAAUCCAUCCCAAAAGAAGCUCUACAGAGAUGUGAUGAGGGAAACCUUUAGGAACAUGACUGCCAUAGGAACAGUCUGGGAUCAAAAAGUUGGAGAAGAGUACAAAAAUUACUGGAGAAAUCUAAGAAAUGAAGAGGUAGAGAAAUGUUAUCAAAGUAAAGAUUGGAAUGAAUGUGAAGAAAUAUUUCUUUAUACUCCAGAUGCUAAUGUAGACAAGGAACAAGCUGGUUUAAAACCACCUGAGGGCCUUGCUUGCAAAAAGCCCCUGACUGGGCACUUGUCACUAAAUGUGGCCAUCACCGCUCACACUGGAGUGAAGCCAUCUGAGUGCUUGGGAUGGGAAGAGAAGCUACAUAAAUGUAAUGAAAAUGGAAGAACCUGCGGUGAUCUCCAGUCCUUUCAGAAGGAUGCAAGGACAGAAACUGGAGAGAAACCCUAUGAAUAUAAUCAAUGUGGGAAAUCCUACCACUAUCUUAGUGAAAGAACUCACCUUAGAGAGACCUUUGUGUGUAAGAAAAACUUGAAUGCCUCCAGCAUAUCCAGUGAUGUUCGGAUCCAUGAAAGAAAUCACAACGGGGGGAAGCUCUAUGUAUGUAAGCAGUGUGGGAAAGCUUUUCAGUCUCAAGGUUAUUGUAACAUACACAAAAGAACUCACACUGGGGAGAAACUCUA